CUCAAUUUUCGGUCUUUUGGCUAAGAUCAAGAGUAAUAUUUGUUUUACGAGUUCAAUAUCUGGUAUAUGAACAAUAUGUUCACUUUGACAUUAAAUUCAUUUAUUAUGGGUGUUUUUAUGUGGAUGGUUCAUUAAGACUCUCAAGUGUCGCUUAGUCACC
rnacentral:snRNA from 1 species